GAUGAACGCUGGCGGCGUGCCUAAUACAUGCAAGUCGAGCGAACGGACGAGAAGCUUGCUUUUCUGAUGUUAGCGGCGGACGGGUGAGUAACACGUGGAUAACCUACCUAUAAGACUGGGAUAACUUCGGGAAACCGGAGCUAAUACCGGAUAAUAUUUUGAACCGCAUGGUUCAAAAGUGAAAGACGGUCUUGCUGUCACUUAUAGAUGGAUCCGCGCUGCAUUAGCUAGUUGGUAAGGUAACGGCUUACCAAGGCAACGAUGCAUAGCCGACCUGAGAGGGUGAUCGCCCACACGAGAACUGAAACACGGUCCAGACUCCUACGGGAGGCAGCAGUAGGGAAUCUUCCGCAAUGGGCGAAAGCCUGACGGAGCAACGCCGCGUGAGUGAUGAAGGUCUUCGGAUCGUAAAACUCUGUUAUUAGGGAAGAACAUAUGUGUAAGUAACUGUGCACAUCUUGACGGUACCUAAUCAGAAAGCCACGGCUAACUACGUG
rnacentral:rRNA from 1 species